UUUAUACAUGUGGCAGUGGGAUGAGAAUUAAAUGGAAUUACCAGUAAAUUGAAAGUGAAAUGUUUAAUCAAUUAUACACCUGAGGGACUUGUGCCAGUUUGGAGACAUUAAUUUGGGGGAAAGGAGGUGACAACUGAUUCUCCAAACCGCAAUGCUUAUGGUUACUAUCUAAAUUGGUUUGAUUCUGAAAACUGUAAUGCAAAACCUGUUAAUGUUUAACCUGUGGUUUAUGGUAGCCAUAUUCUCUGAAGGGAUUCAGAUGGCAAGUAGGUUAUCUGUCUUGUGAACCUGUUUUAAAAACCAAACACUUGACACUAUGUGGUAGCAUGAUCUUAACUAUAGGUAGCCUCAAGAAUACAGAAAAACAAACAAAACACCUACUCCAAUUUCUGGCUUUUCUACAAGGAAUGCUUUGUCCCUCUCCCCUCUUAAUGUCCUAGCCAACAUAGUACUCCUGUCAUCUCUCUACUGUUUUGAAUGAAACAAUAAGGCAGCAUCUGCUGGACGGACAUGCACAUAUACAAGGCAAAAAGUAUCACAAUCAUUUGUGCCACAAUGAAACUAAUUGGAAUAGAACUUCCCGUUGUUAUGGUGAUUCUUCCUCCAAACAGUCCUUUCUGCACCAGAGACUCUGGCUCCGUCCAUGGACAGGACACCCAUCUGUCUAUUCUGCUGUUGCCUCUUGUCAGUGAAAUUAGCUUGACUGUAGGCUAUUCAUUCGUCACUUUGAGGUACAGGAGCUCAAAAAAACAUAUGUGAGAUAGAAAAGCAGUAUAAACAGAUGGCACUUCAGAAUACACACUGGACAGCUGCAUCAAAUAUUCAAAUAGGCAUGAGUGUGCUGGUAACAAAAAAGUGUCUGAGGCAACAGCCACAUGAAGUCUGUGUGCCCCAGUUCCAUUGCACAGUAUUAAUGAUUAAUAAAGAUACACAGUAAUGUGUUGUAUAGAGCCACGGGAGGCACUUAUCCUGAAGACAGUGUAGUUCAACAGUGCAAUUUGAUGUCCUCCACAAGAAAGAAGAGCCACCAGAAAGUGAUGUCCUUCUCCAGGAUCAGAAAUGGACCUACAAAGAUCUUUCUAAACAAGGAGAGGAAAGAGAAAGAGACGGAGAGACAGACUGAGAAAGACUUGGAAGUGAACCAAUACAUGCCUCAUCUGAUUCACAAGCUGAAAAAGACAAGAAAAACAGAGCAGCAAAGAUACAAGUCAAACAUCAGUACAUGUAGAAAGAAAGUUAAAUAAACUCAGACACUGAAUACUGAAGAAUCUUCCUAGAAAUUGGUCUAAACCAAAGAUAUUUUUCCCCCUUUCCUUCUGUUUUUAGAAAAAGUGUUAUAGAACAGAUGCAGGGUGGAUUUUAUUUUCCAUGUUUAGCAACUGCAUUAUUUGCAAUUACUUAUGUAAUGUCACAUUAUCCUGACACUGAUUAAUGUUUCAGCUGAAUGCUAAGGUCACUGUUGAUCCUAAAAAGAACAUUUACUUGAUGAAAAGUCCAGAACUGAAAGUUUUAUAAAGCCACAACUGAAAGCAAAGGAGAUUUUCUAGGAUUUCAUAGGGGAGGGACACUAAUUAGAAAUGACUGAAAUAUUAAGGACAAGUCGCAUAGAUUAGUGGUAUAUCUAAGACCGCUUUAACAAUGAAAGUCCAAGUUGGCCAACUACUUGAAGAUUUUGUUGGACAUGUCUCCGGCCUGCCCGUUCUUAGGUAAACCUUGGGGUUGCUAACGUGGGUAUAAAAAUAUACCAUAAAUAUAAAUAUGAAAUUAAAAUACUAAUAUACAGUAUAAUCAUAUAAUAAGAGUGCACUCUUUGUUAGGGUUUAGUCCCAGAACUCUCAGUGAACAUCAAAAUCCAUGAAUAUUCAAGUACUAUUAGAUACAAUGGUAUCAGGUUUUGAUGUUUGCAUAUUUAAUUUUCAAGCUGUGAUUGGUUGAAUCAAUGGAUCCAUGAAUAUUGAAUGCUGGCUUUAUGUCAUAAUAUACAUAUAUAUCAUUCUAAGCUUGGUACAUUUCUUAAAUGUAUCUACCAAUAUGAAAUCUAACUGCACUGGUAACAUAAUUGUACACUGGAAACAAUUGCAAGUCUAACGUACAAUAUCAUAACUGACUAAUCUGAUGCCAGGCCAGUUUUCAAGGUACUUUUCUUGCCCUUAGGUAUUUUCCCCUUAUCUGAAAACUGGAGAAAAGGGAUUAGACACUGAAUGGCAGGUUGCACACCUUUGGUUGCCUUUUCCUUUUCCUUUCUCCCCGUAGGGCAGAUAACAUCUGAUAGCUAUUCUAUAGCAACAAAGGGAUUCAGUAAAUGAGCAUCUCAUCUCAAAAGAUCUACAUCAGACAGAGAAACAGCACAGUUACUUUAUCUUACCACAACUCCCCUUUAGUAAAGAUACGCCUCCCUUUCUUUGAUAUAGUGACAGGAUAUCAGCUGUAUUGUACAAAGGUGUAAUACAUGACUAGUCACCAUGCAUAAAUGAUCUAAAACAAAAACAAUCCUCAAAGCCCUUUCAACACUAAGGUUUUGUUUAGAUACAAAAAUGGAGUGAAUUGCCAGAGUGGAGUUAAAUUCUAUUUCUCAGUGCAAGCUCAGUUCAUUUCUCUGUGGCAUAUAUGUUUAUGCCUCAGAAGGAAACAACCUCAGCCUGGCGAGUUUCAUGUGCAACGUAUGCUUUUCCAUUUCUUUGUAGGGGACUUUGAUAAAAUGCAGCAAACCAGGGGGAUUUGCAUAAAUCACAGUUUCUUAAGUAGGUUUAACUGGAUAAGACAUGGCAAAUGAGAUCUGGUGGCACUCAGACAAUGAGAAGGAGUGUAAUGAAACAGCAGUAAUGUAAUUAUGGCAAAGUACUUUUAUCUUUACUGAAGAAAAUGUGGCUUGGUGGGUUGAGGGUCAUUCUCCUGCAACUAAGGAGCUGGCAUUGCCUUAUUUAUUUAUUUAUUUAUUUCCGAUAUUUCUACCCCACCCUUCUCCCCGAGGGGACUCCAUAUUUCCCUAUAGCCUUAAAGAAAAACAACAUGCUUUAGCAUAACAGGGAAGUUUGAUGUGUCUGGAGUAUUUGAUAAGAGAAAUGCAUGGCAUCUGUGGGUGGAUCUCUGCCAAAGUGUGCUAGUCUUGACUUAUUCCUUCCAUAACAGUGGCCCAACCUUUUUUUGACCAGGUCCCUCUUGACCAGGGACCACUUAGACCAAGGACUACUUUGCACACGUACCACUUUCCAACAUUAGUACCAAAAGGAUUACAAAUCAUGUUUUUGGUCAACUUUAGAUUCGGUUUUGUUAUUUGGGGUGUUGAUUCAGAAAAUUGCAUUGGAUAGACCACACCAGCUCUAGCUGGUCAGCUCUGUAGAAAGGAGAAGAAAUAAAAUAAAAUAAAUAAAAUAAAUAAAGAGGAAGGAGGUUCGUUCUCACAGCCCACUGCUGGGCUGCGGCCCACAGGUUGGGAACCAGUGUUCUAUAAAAAAGGGCAGUGAUAUCAAUGUUUGAUACAGUUCACCCAGCACAUCAAAAUAUGCUUGUAAAAGUUAGUUGUUUGUGUCAUGAAACAGAGUCAAUACAAGCAAAUUACAUAUAUAAAAACCAAGCAGGACAAACACAUUUCUGAAUAUGAAUUUUGUUUUUUCACUUGUGGGGCAUUUGAUAUUAUCAAAUACACCACAAAGUAGCAUUUGAUGUUAUCACUAAGACAAGAGGAAGGCUUUUUUGAAAUCACAAGCCACUGAACUGAGCAAUCCAAGCCCAAGGGUUUAUAAUGAAUAUUAUUUAUUAAUGUCAUUUGAGAAAUCGUACUGCAAGAUAUACAUUCCUUUGCCCAUUUAAAUAGGGAAGCUAGUAUUUAAGUAGCACAGGACCUCAGACUGUCUGGCUCUAUCUUUGUCAGAAGUAAAUACAUAUAAAAGGCAGCACUUAGGAUGGUAGUUUUAAAACAGAAGAAGCAAAUUCAGAUUAUAUAGCCACCAAAGCCAUAGUAACCUUGAACAGAACAUAGAAUAAAUAUAGGCAGAAAUUUGUCAUGCCAAUAAAUAAUAAAUGAAAUUAAUGGGGAAAGGCUGCUGGCUAAAUCCAGCAAGGACAAAGUAAAGACCGUCUUUUAAAAAAAUCAGAAACACUUCUUUUCUAUUUAGAACUUAGAAUCUCUGAUUAUACAAAGCAAGAUGGUCUUAAUUCAGGAAAGACCUUCAUUCUGUUUCAUUUUGUGCACACAUUGGAAGAGAACAAAUGAAGUGAAGAACACAAGUUUGAGAAAUAAAAAGUGUCAUGGAUUAAUUGUCAAAAGCUUUCAUGGCUGGAAUCACUGGGUUACCGUCAGUUUUCCAGGCUGUCUGAGGAUGCCUGCCAUAGAUGCAGGUGAAACGUCAGGAAAGAAUGCUUCUGGAACAUGGCCACACAGCCCGGAAAACUCACAGCAACCCUAUCAUGGAUUACUCUGGAUGCUUUGCACAGUAGUCCUUCUCUUUAACUGGCAACAAACAAGAAAAGAAUGUUCUUAACUUCCACUUGACUGAAACCACAUGUUUUGUGGCAGAUGUUUUGUGAUUUCAAAUCAUUUCUGACUUAUAGUGUAAGGUGUACGUAUUAUGGAGUUUUCUUUGCAAGAUUUCUUUAAAGGGUUUUUGCUCACCUUCCUCUGAGACUGGUGUGACUUGGCCAAGGUCACCCAGUAGGCCUGCAACCCCUGGACUCACAGUGUCCUAGUUUAACACUCAAACAACUGUAUCAUGCUCACUCUCCACAUGACUUACCUUGAGAUUUUCCAUCUGAUCCCCCUCCAUAGAGAAGGGUAAUUGUUUUAAGGUGUUCUCUUCUUUCAGCGGAUGUGCUUAGAGCAUUCAUGUUGCUAUCUGAAUAGAGGGAGGAGAAUCGAUAUAAAGCUUUCUAUUGUAAGCGAAGUGUGCAUAUCAGAACACAGACCUAAUGGAUGGGCUAACCUUGCCAGUGAAAUACACUCUGCAUUAUUUAUUACCAAUGGAUAAUUUGCUAUAACAUUUCCUGAUGUGCCAGAGGGAUGCAUUUAUAGCAAUGCCUUUGGAGUACAGUUUGAAAUGCCUUAUUAAUACAUUCAUCAUAACCACUGGCUAAACUGCUUCUUGUAGGUUUGCGGAAGGAAAGAAGUGAAGUAUUAAUUCAAUUCUGUCAAUAGUUUGUCCCUGAGAACAACAGUGCUUUUUCUCCUGAUGCUAGUAAAUCUUGAGUUGCAUUGGGGAUGGGAGGGUACUGUGUUAUCUUUUAAGUGCAUUGUCUCAGAAGCUGGAACUCGGUUUCUCAGAAGAUGGAGGUGGGGCUUCCUGGAGCAUUUGAUUGGGAUAACAGCCUUUCCUGAAGAUUUUAUAUCCAUUUUGACUGAUCAAAAAAGAGAAAGGCGCCUUCUUGUAUCCUCUCUAGAGCUUGGAAAACUUAUUCUAUUGGACUAUAGUUCCCAGAAACCCCCAGUCAGUGUGGUCAAUGGCCAUGCUGGCAGGGAGUUUCCUAGUGGAAACAAAAUAACUUUACAAAGUUGUGUGGUUGUGUAGUCCUUACUUUGAUUGGUUGACGCAGUUGGGUAACAGGUAAUAAAUUCUCUAGUUAUGAAUUGUAUUUGUUCCCCCAAAAUGUCCACAUUCAUAUUAUUCUAGUCAGUAGUGAGGGACAAUGGAAGUUGCGAUCCAAUAACCACCUUUUCCUUAUAAUAUAUCAGAAUCUUUUACCUUCCACUCCCAUUCCAUUGUUUCUACAUUAUUUUUCCAUUGAUUUUUUUCAUAUGAUCAUUGCAUUCUAACCUCCAUGUAUAUAAACACAGACAAUCUAUUUUUUUUUAAUAAAAACAUUGUUUCUCCUAUAA